GACGAACGCUGGCGGCGUGCUUAACACAUGCAAGUCGAACGGUAAGGCCCUUCGGGGUACACGAGUGGCGAACGGGUGAGUAACACGUGGUGAUCUGCCCUGCACUUUGGGAUAAGCCUGGGAAACUGGGUCUAAUACCGAAUAGGACUCCGGACUGCAUGGUCUGGGGUGGGAAGCUUUUGCGGUGUGGGAUGGGCCCGCGGCCUAUCAGCUUGUUGGUGGGGUGAUGGCCUACCAAGGCGACGACGGGUAGCCGGCCUGAGAGGGUGACCGGCCACACUGGGACUGAGAUACGGCCCAGACUCCUACGGGAGGCAGCAGUGGGGAAUAUUGCACAAUGGGCGCAAGCCUGAUGCAGCGACGCCGCGUGAGGGAUGACGGCCUUCGGUUGUAACCGUCUUUCAGCACAGACGAAGCGCAAGUGACGGUAUGUGCAGAAGAAGGA
rnacentral:rRNA from 1 species